rnacentral:lncRNA from 1 species
UCAGAUCACAGUCAUUCGCUUAUUCUCUAACUUUUGCCUGGAUCGCCCCCUUUUCGGGUUUUCAAUCCAUCGGGAAACCCAUUUUUGCCUGAGCCGCCCUUUUGGGUUUUCGACUCACCGGGUGUAUUCUUUUUUUAUAUCCCUAAUUUUUGCCCGAACCUCUUUAUUCUCUUUUUUUUUGGUUCGUCGGGAUGCCCUUUUUUUGCCCGGACUAUUCUUUUUAUCGUCCAGCGGG